rnacentral:rRNA from 1 species
AACGAACGCUAGCGGCGUGCCUAACACAUGCAAGUCGUACGAGAAAUCCCGGGCAACUGGGAGAGUAAAGUGGCGCACGGGUGAGUAACGCGUGGGUAAUCUACCUUGGAGUUCGGAAUAACACCUCGAAAGGGGUGCUAAUACCGGAUAUCGUCCCAGGGGUUUCGGCUCCGGGGAUGAAAGAUGGCUGAGGCUUGCAAGCUAUUGCUCCAAGAUGAGCCCGCGUACCAUUAGCUAGUUGGUGGGGUAACGGCCCACCAAGGCAAUGAUGGUUAGCUGGUCUGAGAGGAUGACCAGCCUCACUGGAACUGAGAUACGGUCCAGACUCCUACGGGAGGCAGCAGUGAGGAAUCUUGCGCAAUGGGGGCAACCCUGACGCAGCAACGCCGCGUGAGUGAUGAAGGCCUUCGGGUCGUAAAGCUCUGUCAGGCGGAAAGAAUGUUUCCAGGGUGAACAAUCCUGGAGAUUGACGGUACCGCCAGAGGAAGCACCGGCUAACUCCGUGCCAGCAGCCGCCGUAACAC